rnacentral:rRNA from 1 species
UCGGGAAUUUUGGGCAAUGGGCGAAAGCCUGACGCAGUAACGCCGCGUGGAGGAUGAAGGCCUUCGGGUUGUAAACUCCUGUCAGGAGGAACGACGGGGGUAGGAUGAAUAAUUCUAUCUCCCAGACGGUACCUCCAAAGGAAGCCCCGGCUAAUUCCGUGCCAGCAGCCGCGGUAAUACGGAAGGGGCAAGCGUUGUUCGGAAUCAUUGGGCGUAAAGGGCGCGUAGGUGGUCUUGUGUGUCUAUCGUGAAAGCACACGGCUCAACCGUGUAAAGUCGGUGGAAACUGCAGGACUUGAGGUUGGGAGGGGCUGGUGGAAUUCCCUGUGUAGCGGUGAAAUGCGUAGAGAUGGGGGAGAACACUUGUGGCGAAGGCGGCCAGCUGGUUGGAUACUGACGCUGAGACGCGAAAGCG